rnacentral:rRNA from 1 species
GACGAACGCUGGCGGCGUGCCUAUUACAUGCAAGUAGAACGCUGAAGGAGGAGCUUGCUUCUCUGGAUGAGUUGCGAACGGGUGAGUAACGCGUAGGUAACCUGCCUGGUAGCGGGGGAUAACUAUUGGAAACGAUAGCUAAUACCGCAUAAGAGUAGAUGUUGCAUGACAUUUGCUUAAAAGGUGCAAUUGCAUCACUACCAGAUGGACCUGCGUUGUAUUAGCUAGUUGGUGGGGUAACGGCUCACCAAGGCGACGAUACAUAGCCGACCUGAGAGGGUGAUCGGCCACACUGGGACUGAGACACGGCCCAGACUCCUACGGGAGGCAGCAGUAGGGAAUCUUCGGCAAUGGACGGAAGUCUGACCGAGCAACGCCGCGUGAGUGAAGAAGGUUUUCGGAUCGUAAAGCUCUGUUGUAAGAGAAGAACGAGUGUGAGAGUGGAAAGUUCACACUGUGACGGUAUCUUACCAGAAAGGGACGGCUAACUACGU